rnacentral:rRNA from 1 species
UUAUUGGUUUUUUUUGUUGUUUAUUUUUGUGGUAUUUAAUUAUUUAAUUGAAGAAUCAUUGUGGUUAUUGUAUUUUUUUGAUUUAAUUUUUUAAGCGAUAGUUUAUUUGUACUGUGAAGGGUUGAUAAAUAUUUUUUUGGAAGUAGAUUUUGUUUGUCGUACCUUGUGUAUCAGGGUUCAUUGAAUUUUAUUAUUUAUUUUUGUUUCCCGAUUUUGAAGGAGUUAAUGAUUUAUAUUAGUUACUGUUUCAUUAGUAUUAAUAAUAGGUUGUUGGUAGUGAAAUGUUAUUCGUCUUCGGAGGUUUCUGGUUUUUCAAGAAAUGAAUUUAAUUCAUGCAUUUUAUUUAAUUUCUGUUGUUUAUUUAUUAAUUUUUAUUUUAUGCUAAGAUUAAGGGGGAUUAGCUCCUUAUUUUAUUUUUAUAAUUUGUUGUCUUCAAUUUGGUUUUGUGGAUUUUAUAGUGAUUUUCAAUUUGAUUAUGUUAAAAUUUUAUUAUUUUCUUUUGUUUAUUUGCUUUAUAAAUUUAAUUUGUUUAUUGAAAUGUUUGCUUUAUCUUUGGUUAGUAUAGUAAUUAUUGUGUAAUUAGUAAAUUUUGUUUUUAUGUUGUUUUGUUUAUGGGAUGUUAAUUUCUUUUAAGGAAUUAGGCAANNNNNNNNNNNNNNNNNNNNUGACGAGACAUAAGCUGUCUUAUGAGUAUUGUUUAUUGAAUUUGGUUUUUGAGUUAAAAUUCUUAGAUGUUUUUAUGGGACGAGAAGACCCUAUAGAGUUUGACAUUUAGUUCUUAUUGAUUUGUUUUGUUUGUUAUUUUGUUUUUAAUAGGUUAAGUGUUUUGUUGGGGUGAUGGGAGGAAUGUUUUUAACUCCUCUUUGUUUUUAUAUAUUUAUUUAUAUUAUUUUGAUCCAUUUAUUUUGAUUAUAAGAUUAAAUUACCUUAGGGAUAACAGCGUUAUCUUCCUUGAGAGUUCUUAUUGGCAGGGGGGUUUGCGACCUCGAUGUUGGAUUAAGGUGAAUUUUCGGUGCAGGAGCUGAAAUUGAUUAGGUCUGUUCGACCUUUAAAAUCUUACAUGAUCUGAGUUCAGACCGGCGUGAGCCAGGUUGGUUUCUAUCUAUAAUAUAAUUUUAUACCUUAGUACGAGAGGACCGGGUAUUUGGAAUAAUUUUAUUUGUAUAUGAUUAUUAUUAAUAUAUU